AUGAAUAUAGCUUACUGUAUGUGUUGCUUAUUACUUCUUUCUAUGUCAUGGUCUUUCUCCCUCUCUUUCUGUCUUGGAUUCUGUAUUGAAAAGUCUCAGCUAGAAGCAAUGCAGGCGAAUCAUCUCCAUGCUAACACCAUGGCCCAUGGCCCUGUCCACCUAAAGGGCCGUGAGGAGAAGGAGGUGCACUCUCAUCCUCGUGCCCGCCGUGUGUCUUCAGACGAAAACAGCCGAACCAAAGUGGUGGGACCUGAAUGUCACAUCAGCACCAUUCCAGAGCUCACGGAGUGCUUAGAGAAGAGGCUGCGUUUCAAUAACCAGAAGGGUGAUGCAGAUAGCAUAUGUCUUAUUUGCCAUGAAGAACUACGGAAUGGAAGGGGUGGCAUCCGAGAACUUCACUGUGGCCAUCAUUUUCAUAAAGAGGUAAACACUUCCUGCAUCAUUUCUCUCCUCUUGUUGUCUUUAACAGUAUCAAAUUGUUAAUUGAAGCAGUGGGUUAAUGGAAAUAGAAGUAUACACAUGACACCAAGUGAACAAGGGUAUUUUCCAAAUCUGUGCUUUCCCCCCACAUGGCAUGCAUGUUUGUCUGGUUACUUGCUGCUUUUGUGCCAGCUAUUUCACUGAAUCUGCUGUUUCUGAUUAUGGAUUGGGAAGGCAAAAUGGCCGGAGCACAGCGCACGUCCACGUAGUGGGAGUUCUGCACCUGCUUGUGAGCGAGGAAAAGAGAUACCGUUCUGCCCUGGACAGGAGGAAUAUAACUUACCCCGUCGCCAACUCUCUUUACGUAGACAACGUUGAUUGUUUUUUUGUUUAAAAUACACUCUGCAAAAUAAAAGUUCUUUAUAUUUAUUAUUUAGAUAUAAAGAACCUUUACCAUCUGUGGAACCUUUCCAUUGCACAAAAGGUUCUUUAUAGUAUAUAAAAAAUAAAUGAAAAAACUAACAUUUAUGUUUUAAAGAGUGUACAGUAUGUAUGAAAAGUAGUUAAACUAAACAGUAAUCACUCAGUAUAUUAUCAAAAAACGUGUUAAUUGUCAGUUUUAGUUUGUGUUUAGCUUCACUACUAUUGCUUUAAAAAAUUAUUUAUUUUCCCAAUCAAAGUCAUUUACAUUUUAUAAAUACUGCUGUUUGAAAUGUCAUGAUUUUGUACUUUUGUCCUUUUCCUAUAUGGUGAGAAUUAUAUAAACCAUAAUAUGUUUUUAUAGUCUGUGUAUUACUAAACUGUCAAUCAAAUUUAGUUUUUCAGAAUUAAUAUGCAUUGAUUGUUGCUAUUAUUCAUGAUCCUGUUGUUCAUUUUAUACAGCUAUUUUGGAUUAGAAAACCAAACUGUGAAUAUAAGAUGUUUUGGCUUGUUUUUGAUUUGGAAUUACGAAUGCUGUGUGAAUAUGGUAAAAUCCUGAAUUUGCAGGUCAUAUGUCAGGAGUUGCAUUUAUAAAGCUACAGUUGCUUGUCAAAUGCACAUGCUGGAAAUUAGCUGGUGGCAGCUAAUCAUAUACCACUGUAAUGGAAAUCAAUGAUGGGUCACAGUUCUGCCCCUCAAAGAUCAACAGAUCGUUUUUUCAUGCAAGCAGGUGUCAUGCAAGUGCAAUCAUGCCUCUGCUAUGGGUCUUAGUGAUAUAAAUGUUUAUAUAACAUUUUUAAAAGACAUUUAAAAAACAUUUAGUUUAGCUGACCAUUAUUUCCUUUAGUAUUUAUCUUGCAUAGGCUACACUACAAGUCAUCUGUUUGUAAUUCAUAAAUAUAUUUGUGGACAAAUCUUUUUUUUUUUUCAAGAAUUUAAGCAUAAAUAUGCAAAACAAAAGGUUUUUAACAUCAUGUAAACUUAAAUAUAGACUGAUAGUGUGUUUUACUAAGCUUGCAGUUCUUUAAAAGCAAUAAAUGUUGCAAUAUGUUUAGCAUGUGCAGAUGUAUGUAUCAAUAGUUUUCAGUUUUUAUUUACAGCCAUUCUGGCUUUGAAUGACCCUCCAUAAUUUGGCUUUCCUUUCUUUCAGUGUAUUGAGAAAUGGCUUUGGCAGAAACAGUCCUGUCCCUCCUGUCGAGUUCAUGUGACCAUGCCUGAGCCCCUCUACUGGUCCUCUGCUCGUGUCCAGUUUCCCUGACAAUGUCCAUUUUUCCUCACUGCACGAUAAUUUCCAUGUCUGCAUGUAGCCUGUGACCCUGGACACUGAUUUAGUGAAUAAAAAAAGACCAUCAUCUCGAGGUGGAGGCGAGUAUGUGUGUAGCAGUCCUGCAUGAUUAUAUGGUCUUUUACUUGCACACGCUGCCUAGGGAUGAGACCGUUUUGAAAGUUCAUCCUUUAUAUGAAUCUCAAGAGCUUUGGCUUUAUUUGUUCGUGACCCUCCUUUUCCAUCUUUCUUGCUUAUUUUCCUCUGUGGUUUGAUAAGGACAGGAUGUUUGGAUAGGCUGAAAACCUUGCAUGCUAAGUGUCUGACCACAGAGCCUUUUUGUUUUCUCUUUUUCCAUAUCUCGUGUAUUGCACAAAGCACAUCUGAAUUACCCAUUAACGUACACAUGCCACAUUCAAAGGCAGAGAAUUUUAGACUCUGCCCAACAUAUUGUGAUGUUUCUAAUGAUCAAAAAUAUGUUUCAAAGAUGUAUGUUGUUUGUACUAAAGUCAUACUUUUAAUUAAAUAUUAACAGAUUAAGAAAUACCUAGCCUAUGUUGUUGUAAAGUUUUUAUAGAGUGCUGUUAUUUUUAAAGUAGGCUGUUGUUUCAUAUGUACCCUACUUUGUUUUUACAGAAUUCAUUGAAUUUAUAUAUUUGGUGCCAGGAUGUUGUUUAGUUUUAAAUGAAUUCAGUUGAUAUGUGACUACGUAAUAUGAGUGUCACGUUAUAAAGUGUAAAAUAAAUUAUAUAGAGUGAGAUGACAUUCUUCUCUCUGCUGCCAGACCCUCUCGUGACCGUGCCUUUGUGCACGUAUACCCAAACCCUCAUGUCCCGCCCUACAUUAAUAAAAUAUACAAUAACUGUAAAAACCCAACAAAACUCUGUUAAAACUGUUAUAAUAAAACAGUAUGUCAUCAAAAUAUUCUACAGCAAUUGGACCAAAGCAUUAGGAAAACUUAAGCCUUUGGCAAGCGUGUUAUCUUCUAUUGCAGAGUACCUAGAACUUUAA
rnacentral:lncRNA from 1 species